UGAACGCUGGCGGCAUGCCUAACACAUGCAAGUCGAACGCGAAAGUCGCUUCGGUGGCGAGUAGAGUGGCGGACGGGUGAGUAACGCAUGGGAAUCUACCUUGCAGUGGGGGACAACCCGGGGAAACCCGGGCUAAUACCGCAUACGACCUACGGGUGAAAGGGGGCUUCGGCUCUCGCUGUUGGAUGAGCCCAUGUCCGAUUAGCUGGUUGGUGAGGUAAAGGCUCACCAAGGCGACGAUCGGUAGCUGGUCUAAGCGGAUGAUCAGCCACACUGGGACUGAGACACGGCCCAGACUCCUACGGGAGGCAGCAGUGGGGAAUAUUGGACAAUGGGGGAAACCCUGAUCCAGCAAUGCCGCGUGUGUGAAGAAGGCCUGCGGGUUGUAAAGCACUUUCAGUGGGGAAGAAAAGCCGAGGGUCAAUACCCCUUGGUCUUGACGUUACCCACAGAAGAAGCACCGGCUAACUCC
rnacentral:rRNA from 1 species